UACGUAGGGUGCAAGCGUUAAUCGGAAUUACUGGGCGUAAAGCGUGCGCAGGCGGUUUUGUAAGUUUGUCGUGAAAUCCCCGGGCUCAACCUGGGAAUGGCGAUGAAGACUGCAAGGCUAGAGUUUGGCAGAGGGGGUAGAAUUCCACGUGUAGCAGUGAAAUGCGUAGAUAUGUGGGGAACACCGAUGGCGAAGGCAGCCCCCUGGGUCAAUACUGACGCUCAUGCACGAAAGCGUGGGAGCAAACAGG
rnacentral:rRNA from 1 species